rnacentral:rRNA from 1 species
UACGUAGGGCGCAAGCGUUGUCCGGAAUUAUUGGGCGUAAAGAGCUCGUAGGCGGCUUGUCACGUCGGAUGUGAAAGCCCGGGGCUUAACCCCGGGUCUGCAUUCGAUACGGGCUAGCUAGAGUGUGGUAGGGGAGAUCGGAAUUCCUGGUGUAGCGGUGAAAUGCGCAGAUAUCAGGAGGAACACCGAUGGCGAAGGCAGGUCUCUGGGCCGAUACUGACGCUGAGGAGCGAAAGCGUGGGGAGCGAACAGG